AAGUAUAUAAACAUUUUCCUUGUGAUUUAAGGAAUGUGGUUGAUGAUUGGAGACUGGGUCAAUGAAUAUGACGUCGAAACUGUCCAGCAAUCUAGCGAAUGGCAUUCCAUAAAUUAGCCGAAUCCUAAAAAAUCGCUUUAAAGUCUCUCAGAAAUUAAAGUGAAGUAAGAGUCCAACAAUCAUAAGAAAUGCCACUUGGCCGUUGUGACUGAUUUUUGGGCUAAACACAAAACGAGAGUCAUCGCUCGAAUUCGCCACAUCAAAGGAGGCCGGAUUUGUCAUUUCAUUAUUUUUAUGGUAUAUAUAAUAUUAUAAAUGGAUUAUUGACUAAAAAUGAACUAUUUUCAAUGUCAUAAUAAAGUUUUGUAAUGAAAUAUGCGAAAA